rnacentral:rRNA from 1 species
GAUGAACGCUGGCGGCGUGCCUAAUACAUGCAAGUCGAGCGAACAGACGAGGAGCUUGCUCCUCUGACGUUAGCGGCGGACGGGUGAGUAACACGUGGAUAACCUACCUAUAAGACUGGGAUAACUUCGGGAAACCGGAUCUAAUACCGGAUAAUAUAUUGAACCGCAUGGUUCAAUAGUGAAAUACGGUUUUGCUGUCACUUAUAGAUGGAUCCUCGCCGCAUUAGCUAGUUGGUAAGGUAACGGAUUACCAAGGCAACGAUUCGUAGCCGACCUGAGGGGGGGAUGGGCAACCCUGGAACUGAGACACGGUCAAGACUCCUACGGGAGGCAGAAGUAGGGAAUCUUGCGCAAUGGGCGAAAGCCUGACGGAGCAACGCCGCGUGAGUGAUGAAGGUCUUCGGAUCGUAAAACUCUGUUAUUAGGGAAGAACAAAUGUGUAAGUAACUAUGCACGUCGUGACGGUACCUAAUCAGAAAGCCACGGCUAACUACGUG